rnacentral:rRNA from 1 species
AAUUGGAGGGCAAGUCUGGUGCCAGCAGCCGCGGUAAUUCCAGCUCCAAUAGCGUAUAUUAAAGUUGUUGCAGUUAAAAAGCUCGUAGUUGAAUUUCGGGAUCAGCAGGUUGGUCGUGCCUACGGUAUGAACUGGCCUUGCUGAUUCCUCCCUCUUGAUGAGCCGUAAUGCCAUUAAUUUGGUGUUGCGGGGAAUCAGGACUGUUACUUUGAAAAAAUUAGAGUGUUUAAAGCAGGCAUGCGCUUGAAUACAUUAGCAUGGAAUAAUGAAAUAGGACGUUUGAUCCUAUUUUGUUGGUUUCUAGGAUUGACGUAAUGAUUAAUAGGGAUAGUUGGGGGCAUUAGUAUUCAAUUGUCAGAGGUGAAAUUCUUGGAUUUAUUGAAGACUAACUACUGCGAAAGCAUUUGCCAAGGAUGUUUUCAUUAAUCAAGAACGAAAGUUAGGGGAUCGAAGACGAUCAGAUACCGUCGUAGUCUUAACCAUAAACUAUGCCGACUAGGGAUCGGAUGAUGUUAAUUUUUUAAUGACUCAUUCGGCGCCUUACGGGAAACCAAAGUGU